GCGCGCCCGCGCUUUAUUUUUGGCGCAUGCACACCCCACGGUAGCCUCAAGGUCGGCGACAACCCUGAUCGGUCGGGGUCCCCCGCCCAUCCGUGCUCUCCCGCCCGCCAAGGACGCGGGAAGGAGCAAGUCCCCCAGUGGCGGCGGGGCAUCUUGGGGCGCCCGCGCAAUUUCAGCAUUGUCGUGCUGGAGUGGGGACAAGCAGGCAGAAGCCGGUCCCCAAAGGUGUGGACUUGGACCUUUCCGAGUGGGCAGCCGGGGCCUGGCUGGUCCCAGCCGCGCCCCCGGCUUGCUGCCCACCCCCAGGGCCUCCCUGCAGCCCCUUGGCAUCCUCUCUGCGAGCUGUCACGGAAUUUGGCUCUGAGAGGCAGCUGGUCCUGGCCAGGAUCCCUGGUCCAUCUCAAAUGGAAACAGUUCCUCCUGAGGAAUCGGCCGGGAAUCUCAGUGGAAAUGCACUGGGGCAGGGCCCCCUGGCGUGUUUAACCAAGGCCAAGCUUACCACUUUGAGGCAAGGGAUGCUUCAAAUGGAGCGGGAUUCCUGGUUACAGACUGAGAUUCUUGCAGAGAGAAUUACAAGAGGAUGGACUCCAACAAGGGAAAAGGGGCGUCCAAGCAAUGGAGUGGGCUGUAAGCAAUAGUGGUCUGGAGGAAGAGGAAAACCGGAGAAGCUGGCGGUCUGCGGUGGCUGAGCUGCCCCCAGACCCUGGAACAAGACUCGUCUGCACCACCAAGGUAGCCCUCAGACCUACCCACUCAGGCUGCUGGACCGCCUGAGCGCCCGAGCCCCGGACCCGGAGGCCAGGGGCGCCAGCCCCUCAUGUUCCGGAGAACGCGCAAAUGUGAUGUCAUGCCCAUUGUUUUGGUGCGCCCAACCAAUCGGACUCGCCGCCUGGAUUCUACCGGAGCCGGCAUGGGCCCUUCCUCGCACCAGCAGCAGGAGUCCCCGCUCCCGACCAUAACGCAUUGCGCAGGGUGCACCACCGCCUGGUCUCCCUGCAGCUUUAACAGCCCUGACAUGGAAACCCCAUUGCAGUUCCAGCGCGGCUUCUUCCCAGAGCAGCCGCCGCCACCGCCGCGCUCCUCACACCUGCAUUGCCAGCAGCAGCAACAGAGCCAGGACAAGCCGUGCGCGCCCUUCGCGCCCCUCCCGCACCCUCACCACCACCCGCACCUCGCACACCAGCAGCCGGGCAGCGGUGGCAGCAGCCCAUGCCUCCGGUGCAACAGCUGCGCCUCCUCCGGUGCCCCAGCGGCGGGGGCGGGGGCGGGGGAUAACCUGUCCCUGCUGCUCCGCACCUCCUCGCCCGGCGGCGCCUUCCGGACCCGCACCUCCUCGCCGCUGUCGGGCUCUUCGUGCUGCUGCUGCUGCUCGUCGCGCCGGGGCAGCCAGCUCAAUGUGAGCGAGCUGACGCCGUCCAGCCAUGCCAGUGCGCUCCGGCAGCAGUACGCGCAGCAGCCCGCGUCCGCCUCCCAGUACCACCAGUGCCACAGCCUGCAGCCCGCCGCCAGCCCCACAGGCAGCCUGGGCAGCCUGGGCUCCGGGCCCCCGCUCUCGCACCACCACCACCACCCGCACCCGGCGCACCACCAGCAUCACCAACCCCAGGCGCGCCGCGAGAGCAACCCCUUCACCGAAAUAGCCAUGAGCAGCUGCAGGUACAACGGGGGCGUCAUGCGUCCGCUCAGCAACUUGAGCUCGUCCCGCCGGAACCUGCACGAGAUGGACUCCGAGGCUCAGCCCCUGCAGCCCCCCGCGUCCGUCGUAGGAGGAGGUGGUGGCGCGUCCUCCCCGUCUGCUGCCGCCGCCGCCUCUUCCUCAGCCCCGGAGAUCGUGGUGUCUAAGCCGGAGCACAACAAUUCCAACAACCUGGCGCUCUACGGAACCGGCGGCGGAGGCAGCACCGGAGGCGGCGGCGGCGGCGGCGGAGGCAGCGGGCAUGGCAGCAGCAGCGGCACCAAGUCCAGCAAAAAGAAGAACCAGAACAUCGGCUACAAGCUGGGCCACCGGCGCGCCCUGUUUGAGAAGCGCAAGCGGCUCAGCGACUACGCGCUCAUCUUCGGCAUGUUCGGCAUCGUGGUCAUGGUCAUCGAGACCGAGCUGUCGUGGGGCGCCUACGACAAGGCGUCGCUGUAUUCCUUAGCUCUGAAAUGCCUUAUCAGUCUCUCCACGAUCAUCCUGCUCGGUCUGAUCAUCGUGUACCACGCCAGGGAAAUACAGUUAUUCAUGGUGGACAAUGGAGCAGAUGACUGGAGAAUAGCCAUGACUUAUGAGCGUAUUUUCUUCAUCUGCUUGGAAAUACUGGUGUGUGCUAUUCAUCCCAUACCUGGGAAUUACACGUUCACAUGGACGGCCCGGCUUGCCUUCUCCUAUGCCCCCUCCACAACCACCGCUGAUGUGGAUAUUAUUUUAUCUAUACCAAUGUUCUUAAGACUCUAUCUGAUUGCCAGAGUCAUGCUUUUACACAGCAAACUUUUCACCGAUGCCUCCUCUAGAAGCAUUGGGGCACUUAAUAAGAUAAACUUCAAUACGCGUUUUGUUAUGAAGACUUUAAUGACUAUCUGCCCAGGAACUGUACUCUUGGUUUUUAGUAUCUCAUUAUGGAUAAUUGCCGCAUGGACUGUCCGAGCUUGUGAAAGGUACCAUGAUCAACAGGAUGUUACUAGCAACUUCCUUGGAGCAAUGUGGUUGAUAUCAAUAACUUUUCUCUCCAUUGGUUAUGGUGACAUGGUACCUAACACAUACUGUGGGAAAGGAGUCUGCUUGCUUACUGGAAUCAUGGGUGCAGGUUGCACAGCCCUGGUGGUAGCCGUAGUGGCAAGAAAGCUAGAACUUACCAAAGCAGAAAAGCAUGUGCACAAUUUCAUGAUGGAUACUCAGCUGACCAAAAGAGUGAAAAACGCAGCCGCCAAUGUACUCAGGGAAACGUGGUUAAUCUACAAAAACACAAAGCUAGUGAAAAAGAUCGACCACGCUAAAGUAAGAAAGCAUCAGCGGAAAUUCUUGCAAGCUAUUCAUCAGUAAGUACCUGUUUUCGUUUCUGUCUUCUUUCUUCUUAGCCUUGGCUUUUGAUUCUUGUGCUCCCUGGUCCUCCCUUUGUGAGGGAGAAAAAGAAAAAGGCACUGCCAUGUUUGCUUCCAGGAGACAUCUGAAAAUCUAAUAAUGGACUAAGAGAAAGGCUUAGUUCUUUUUAUGGCUGGAAAGCAUGUGUGAUAUAAUCAAAAUACCUUUGUCUUUGGAGGCCAUAAUUUCUGUUAGAAUUAUAUUUAAUUAAUGCAUUUAUUUUUAUAGUUUGACCUGAAAUGUUCAGCUUGUAUCCACGAUAGAAUCUUGGGAGAAGUGGUGAGGGACAUUAUAUGAUCCAUCUGGAUUUUUACAUGCUAGCAAAUAUCUUUAUAUAACAUAGUAUAUUUAAUUGUCUUAAUUCUGCAAUAUUCAAUGACUUCUUAAUCAAAAAAUUGGGGGUUAUCUAUAUGCUGUGUGAUCAUUAUAGAGUUUAGAGUUGGUAUAGUUCAAUUUUCUCUUAUUAAGUUACUUUUAUUCAACUGACAUAAGCUGUUCAUGCAUGUCUUUGUUAUAUAAUUACUUGUCUCUUAAGUUAACUGUCUGUGAUUCAGUGAUGACUGAGAAACAGACCUUUCCAGGCUGACAUUGUCUACACAUUGCCUUCACAUGUGGGUAUCCACUGUGACACCAGACAGACUUGCUCUUAAUGCCCUUUCUUCGUGGUCACAUUUGUGGCUCAGGAAAGUGGUUUUCCUUGUGAGACAUACCAGGGUAACAAUGGAAAUGUGGGUAAAUAUUAGGUCUUUGCCUGUGCCACAUGAUUGGCCUUCUCAGACCCAUCUAGUACAACAGACAAGAAAGCUGUGAGUCUGGGAUUUUUCUUUUACAUAUUUAGUUCAUUCAUAAGCAACAUGGUACCACUAACCUUCUGUGAGGAAUCCAUAGACUUUCAUUUUCUGACUUUUCACUGGUCCAGCCUCUGCCCUGCUUGGUUGGGAUAUUAAGGUAUCCUGGUAAGUCUAUAGUGUGCCUAUAAUGAUGCUCAUGUGCAUACUUCUAUGGGAUUGAAACCUCUGUUAGUGCAAAUAAAACCCAAGUAACUCUGGGAUUAAAAUAGAGCAAGCUUUGCACAUGUGGUAGAAUUGCUUAUCAUUAUUGCUCACAGCUAUUCACUUGUGCUCCUUAUUGCCCCCCAUGUACUUUCCUUAGAAGGGGAUGGUAUUUCUCCUCUACCUCUAUGACUUGACUAGGUACACAACUGCCCUCCAGCCUUUAAGGAAAUGACAGGACUCUUUUUAAAGUCAGGGGAAAACAAAGAGGAGAAUUAUGUUAGAGCUGGCUCACAAAGCAGGAGCCUGCUUCUUGAAAUUCAGUUACCUUUGGGACCCAGGGUCAACCCAGGAACACCAGCCCAGAUGGUGGCAUUCCUUUCAUUCUCCGUACUAGAGGGGUGAGGCCCCAAGAAAUAUCUGGAUUCUUCCUGUGUUCCCUGAGCCCAUCUAGACAGCCCCUUUCUCAGAGGAUUCACUUGGAAAGAGCCCAUUAGAAAAAGUCUGCCUUCUAAAGCCGUUCAACACAGUAACCCCACCAUUAAUAUGAGCAAUCACGGCAAACUAUGGAGAGAUCGUUUUUGUUCUGUUAAUGUUUUUUUGGUAGUCUAUUUUGUUUGAGUAUGAUAGAAAGCUUCCCUUUCUGGGUAUGAGAAGACAACAUCCAAACGUAAAGGGUAUGCGAGAUGAAGUAGGAGUAAGUAUGUACAUGUGUUGUGAUCAUGCUUCAUUUUGUGUGCCUAUCAGUGAAAAUACCUAAAAUACAGUCAUAUUUGAUUUGCCUCUUGAAUAAAAAAAUCCAAAGCAUGCACCAAUAGAUUUUUGUAAUGCAGUCCUGUAACUUUAUGGGUAUGGUGAUUAUUAGUCUAUUUUGUCAAGUACUUUGAGUUACAAGUGCAUCCAUACUAAUAUGGGAUAAUAGUCUGGUAUUUAUUCAUUGCAAAAUCUUUUAGCAUUGCUGUAAGUUUCUUUUCUAACAAAAUACUAUUUAAAAAAAUUCUCUGUACAAGGAAGCUGAUUUUAUGAACUGGCCAAAAGUAAGUGGCAAAUUUGCCCUAUGGGGCAUGUCAGCCUGAUUGGAAGGGCACAUGGGAGGAACUUCUAUGGAGUUCUUCGCUGGCUGCUCUGGAUAGUGUGACAGAAGCCACUCUUAUUCUUCUUCUGCUUCCAUCAGACUUUUCCCAUAAUCAUCCUUUUCUUGCCCUUUUUAAUGCGAUGUGUGCAUCUAAAGCAGAUGAGUCUGACGUAAUUCAAUUAUGUUCAAAAUUGUUUUAUAAGUUAGUUUGGGGUUUGCUGAGUUCCCUGCUGUGGAGACUACUUAACGUUUAUGAACAAUUGCAGCAGAAUAAGCGUGGUUACAGGGGCUGGGUUUGGCUAGAUUAUUCUACUGGUGCAUAAUCACUUGUCAUGCUAUCUUCUGUUGGGAGUUGUAGAGUGAUGUCAUGAAAGACAGCACACAGGGCUCGAUUCCUCAGGGCCAGGUCUUCACUGUCCACUGCUCAGGGGUGCUCAGCAUCAUCUGCCAGCACUGCAUGAAGUAGACCUAGUUGGACAAAAACUCACCAGUCAUUGACUGGAGCUUGUCUGGCUUUUGCUACUCUCCCUGAGAGCCAUUUUAGCACCUCUGUCCUCUUCUACCAGCCCCCUCUAGCUCAGCUCUUACUCUUUUCCAUACUUUAUGGCCUCUUUCCCAACAUGCGACCUCUCUAGCCUCUGAUGAUGCUAAACUCUCUAGGUCAGUGCGCUCUUUUCAGUAAUGCAUUUGUCUUUAUGAAUUGUCGCUCAAUGCCAUGCAGUGUUUUCUCUCUCUCUAACUUUCAACCCUUUUUCUGAUAGCAGCUUUAACUUUUUCAUUCUUCUGUCUCAACCAUGGAUCCAUCAAUCAACACGAACUUGUCUAGAGCCAAGAAAGCUAAUGUGCAUAAUUUAUAUUAGAGGGGGAUUCUGAAUAGCCCCGAUAUGGAAAAGAUAUGCUCUCCCUUCAAAAGAAUCAUUAUAUCUGUCAUUCUAAGCCAAAGUGUUUCCUAUUAUUCCCCUGAACACCAAGUAUGAAGAGGCCAACAUGACUUUUAUGCACCUUCUUCAUUCUGAAUUCUGGUGUAAGAGGAAGCCAAGUGCUUUCAGGUAGGCAGAGUAUAGUAGCAACAAAGGAUGGUGAUGAACUGAAUAGUGCCAAUCAAUGUCAAGAUCCUGCAGGGUCUUCCAGCUGAUGAAUCGAGCCCCCUGUGCACAACUGAACACCACAUUAUGUUAUUUUGUUUCGGAAUACUUUACAGUUUCUUUUCUUUUGUUUUGUCUUUUUAUUUCAACAAAAUGAAAAUAGAGCUCGGAAAUUGAGAAGUGUGAAGAUGGAACAGAGGAAACUAAAUGAUCAAGCAAAUACCCUAGUGGAUCUGGCAAAGACCCAGAAUAUCAUGUAUGACAUGAUUUCCGACUUAAA